GUCGAGCGGUAGCACAGAGAGCUUGCUCUCGGGUGACGAGCGGCGGACGGGUGAGUAAUGUCUGGGAAACUGCCUGAUGGAGGGGGAUAACUACUGGAAACGGUAGCUAAUACCGCAUAACGUCGCAAGACCAAAGUGGGGGACCUUCGGGCCUCAUGCCAUCAGAUGUGCCCAGAUGGGAUUAGCUAGUAGGUGGGGUAACGGCUCACCUAGGCGACGAUCCCUAGCUGGUCUGAGAGGAUGACCAGCCACACUGGAACUGAGACACGGUCCAGACUCCUACGGGAGGCAGCAGUGGGGAAUAUUGCACAAUGGGCGCAAGCCUGAUGCAGCCAUGCCGCGUGUGUGAAGAAGGCCUUCGGGUUGUAAAGCACUUUCAGCGGGGAGGAAGGCGUUAAGGUUAAUAACCUUGGCGAUUGACGUUACCCGCAGAAGAAGCACCGGCUAACUCCGUGCCAGCAGCCGCGGUAAUACGGAGGGUGCAAGCGUUAAUCGGAAUUACUGGGCGUAAAGCGCACGCAGGCGGUCUGUCAAGUCGGAUGUGAAAUCCCCGGGCUCAACCUGGGAACUGCAUUCGAAACUGGCAGGCUAGAGUCUUGUAGAGGGGGGUAGAAUUCCAGGUGUAGCGGUGAAAUGCGUAGAGAUCUGGAGGAAUACCGGUGGCGAAGGCGGCCCCCUGGACAAAGACUGACGCUCAGGUGCGAAAGCGUGGGGAGCAAACAGGAUUAGAUACCCUGGUAGUCCACGCCGUAAACGAUGUCGAUUUGGAGGUUGUGCCCUUGAGGCGUGGCUUCCGGAGCUAACGCGUUAAAUCGACCGCCUGGGGAGUACGGCCGCAAGGUUAAAACUCAAAUGAAUUGACGGGGGGCCCGCACAAGCGGUGGAGCAUGUGGUUUAAUUCGAUGCAACGCGAAGAACCUUACCUGGUCUUGACAUCCACAGAACUUAGCAGAGAUGCAUUGGUGCCUUCGGGAACUGUGAGACAGGUGCUGCAUGGCUGUCGUCAGCUCGUGUUGUGAAAAUGUUGGGUUAAGUCCCGCAACGAGCGCACCCUUAUC
rnacentral:rRNA from 1 species